CACCGCGGUUAUACGAGAGGCCCAAGUUGAAAGACACCGGCGUAAAGCGUGGUUAAGUUAAAUUUAAGCUAAAGUUAAACAUCUUCAAGACUGUUAUACGUAUCCGAAGAUAGGAACCUCAAUUACGAAAGUAACUUUACACAAGCUGAACCCACGAAAGCUAUAGCA
rnacentral:rRNA from 1 species